CUCCAUUUUUGCCACUGUUUUCGGCCAAGAACAAGAGAAAACCAAGAUCAUUUCAAGCCUCCCUAAAAAUAUUUCCUUGAUACAAAACCACUAUAUUGAAGUCCCUAAGUAGCGUGGAAGUAUUGUUUGGGUCAUCCAACCAUUAGUUGUGCCUAUUUGCAAACCCUAGCCUAUUGGUGGAGGUGAAGAACAAAGACCUUGGGGAGCCCGAGGCGUAGAUUUGGAUUAGCUUUAGAUUGGCUUGCUUGGAGUGCGUACGAGGUACAGACGCACAGUUUGGUGAUCCACCGGUUUAGGACACCCCUUUUUGCUGUUGGAGUGCUCUUCUCCUUUCAGAGCAUAUCUUUUGGUAUAUAUUUUUGUUC